ACUACCCGCUGAACUUAAGCAUAUCAAUAAGCGGAGGAAAAGAAACCAACAGGGAUUGCCUCAGUAACGGCGAGUGAAGCGGCAAAAGCUCAAAUUUGAAAUCCCCCGGGAAUUGUAAUUUGAAGAGAUUUGGGUCCGGCCGGCAGGGGUUAAGUCCACUGGAAAGUGGCGCCACAGAGGGUGACGGCCCCGUGAACCCCCUCAACGCCUUCAUCCCAGAUCUCCAAGAGUCGAGUUGUUUGGGAAUGCAGCUCUAAGUGGGUGGUAAAUUCCAUCUAAAGCUAAAUACCGGCGAGAGACCGAUAGCGAACAAGUACAGUGAUGGAAAGAUGAAAAGCACUUUGAAAAGAGAGUGAAAAAGUACGUGAAAUUGUUGAAAGGGAAGGGCUUGCAAGCAGACACAUAACUGGGCCAGCAUCGGGGCGGCGGGAAACAAAACCACCGGGGAAUGUACCUUUCGAGGAUUAUAACCCCGGUCUCAAUUUCCUUGUUGCCCCGAGGCCUGCAUUCUAAGGAA
rnacentral:rRNA from 1 species